rnacentral:rRNA from 1 species
GAUGAACGCUGGCGGCGUGCCUAAUACAUGCAAGUCGAGCGAACAGACGAGGAGCUUGCUCCUCUGACGUUAGCGGCGGACGGGUGAGUAACACGUGGAUAACCUACCUAUAAGACUGGGAUAACUUCGGGAAACCGGAGCUAAUACCGGAUAAUAUAUUGAACCGCAUGGUUCAAUAGUGAAAGACGGUUUUGCUGUCACUUAAAGAUGGAUCCGCGCCGCAUUAGCUAGUUGGUAAGGUAACGGCUUACCAAGGCGACGAUGCGUAGCCGACCUGAGAGGGUGAUCGGCCACACUGGAACUGAGACACGGUCCAGGCUCCUACGGGAGGCAGCAGUAGGGAAUCUUCCGCAAUGGGCGAAAGCCUGACGGAGCAACGCCGCGUGAGUGAUGAAGGUCUUCGGAUCGUAAAACUCUGUUAUUAGGGAAGAACAAAUGUGUAAGUAACUAUGCACGUCUUGACGGUACCUAAUCAGAAAGCCACGGCUAACUACGUG